GAGCGCCAAUCGCUCGGGGAAGCUUUUCAUUCAUUCAAUUUUCCCUGCAAGCUUAUUCGCCCCAAAUCUGUCCCCAAAUUUCUCACCUCUCCGUGCGUGACUCUCUUGGGGAAAAGCCAAACCUCACGGAAAGUCACCAUGUCUAUUUUUGACAACAAUCAAAAUAUGGCUCACCAAACAUCAUCACAGUAGGCGAUAUGGGAGCAAAAAUUUUGAGAGAAACGAAAGCUUGCGUAGGUACCUACGCAAUCCUUCGUUGGAAAAGCUUUCUUGGAUUCGCUCGCUCACCAGCUCUCCCUCGUGGGCUUCUCGAGUUUGGGGCGAUCCUCGCACUCGUCGUUUGGCCCCCUCGCUGUUGGAGCUCUGCGCAUGAUUCGCUCCAUUUUCAAUUCCGAAACGACAGCUUUCGCCAGCUCGAACUUUUCUUCCUUGGCGAUAUGUGUGGAUACUAGGCUUUGGCUCUGGAUGGUUUUCCGUUCAUUCGUCAAUCGAUUUUCCUUCUCACUUGAAAAAGCUACCAUCUUGGUAUGGUGUGGAAAAUUUAGCUGCUGUUCCGUGAGGAAAAUUCUGCAUUUUCCCAGACUGAUUCAAGUUUAAAAAGUAAUUCUAGGUGUUGUAAAGUGCUUGGUGAAGUUUUAGUAGCGCGAAAAGCCUGUUGUUAAGAUGAAUUACGCGGGCAGGUGUUGUUGAGGAGGAAUUUCCAUAAUUUCUUACUGCAGGAUAGGUUGGAGCAAAGAAAAAAAAAUCCGAGCAAAAUUGCAGUGGGCGACCAGCUCUAGCAGCCCCGUUUUAGAAAUCUUCGCAGCAGCGAAAUUGCGAACACAAAAAAUCCAAAAUGGCUCCGGGUCUUAAAAUAUGGAAAAGAAGUGCUGAGCCCGAUGCCGAUGCAGCCAAACUACCAGAGGCUGCGACCACUCUGGCGACGAGAAUCUUCAAUCACAAGCACCAUCAUCGUACGACGACGGAAUCGGAGCUAGAAACAG